rnacentral:rRNA from 1 species
UUUUCAUCAGACAAUCUGUGUGAGCACUGCAAAGUACGCUUCUUUAAGGUAAGGAGGUGAUCCAACCGCAGGUUCCCCUACGGUUACCUUGUUACGACUUCACCCCAGUCAUGAAUCACAAAGUGGUAAGCGCCCUCCCGAAGGUUAAGCUACCUACUUCUUUUGCAACCCACUCCCAUGGUGUGACGGGCGGUGUGUACAAGGCCCGGGAACGUAUUCACCGUGGCAUUCUGAUCCACGAUUACUAGCGAUUCCGACUUCAUGGAGUCGAGUUGCAGACUCCAAUCCGGACUACGACGCACUUUAUGAGGUCCGCUUGCUCUCGCGAGGUCGCUUCUCUUUGUAUGCGCCAUUGUAGCACGUGUGUAGCCCUGGUCGUAAGGGCCAUGAUGACUUGACGUCAUCCCCACCUUCCUCCAGUUUAUCACUGGCAGUCUCCUUUGAGUUCCCGGCCGGACCGCUGGCAACAAAGGAUAAGGGUUGCGCUCGUUGCGGGACUUAACCCAACAUUUCACAACACGAGCUGACGACAGCCAUGCAGCACCUGUCUCACGGUUCCCGAAGGCACAUUCUCAUCUCUGAAAACUUCCGUGGAUGUCAAGACCAGGUAAGGUUCUUCGCGUUGCAUCGAAUUAAACCACAUGCUCCACCGCUUGUGCGGGCCCCCGUCAAUUCAUUUGAGUUUUAACCUUGCGGCCGUACUCCCCAGGCGGUCUACUUAACGCGUUAGCUCCGGAAGCCACGCCUCAAGGGCACAACCUCCAAGUAGACAUCGUUUACGGCGUGGACUACCAGGGUAUCUAAUCCUGUUUGCUCCCCACGCUUUCGCACCUGAGCGUCAGUCUUUGUCCAGGGGGCCGCCUUCGCCACCGGUAUUCCUCCAGAUCUCUACGCAUUUCACCGCUACACCUGGAAUUCUNNNNNNNNNNNNNNNNNNNNCCUGGAAUUCUACCCCCCUCUACAAGACUCAAGCCUGCCAGUUUCGAAUGCAGUUCCCAGGUUGAGCCCGGGGAUUUCACAUCCGACUUGACAGACCGCCUGCGUGCGCUUUACGCCCAGUAAUUCCGAUUAACGCUUGCACCCUCCGUAUUACCGCGGCUGCUGGCACGGAGUUAGCCGGUGCUUCUUCUGCGGGUAACGUCAAUUGCUGCGGUUAUUAACCACAACACCUUCCUCCCCGCUGAAAGUACUUUACAACCCGAAGGCCUUCUUCAUACACGCGGCAUGGCUGCAUCAGGCUUGCGCCCAUUGUGCAAUAUUCCCCACUGCUGCCUCCCGUAGGAGUCUGGACCGUGUCUCAGUUCCAGUGUGGCUGGUCAUCCUCUCAGACCAGCUAGGGAUCGUCGCCUUGGUGAGCCGUUACCUCACCAACAAGCUAAUCCCAUCUGGGCACAUCUGAUGGCAAGAGGCCCGAAGGUCCCCCUCUUUGGUCUUGCGACGUUAUGCGGUAUUAGCCACCGUUUCCAGUAGUUAUCCCCCUCCAUCAGGCAGUUUCCCAGACAUUACUCACCCGUCCGCCACUCGUCAGCAAAGCAGCAAGCUGCUUCCUGUUACCGUUCGACUUGCAUGUGUUAGGCCUGCCGCCAGCGUUCAAUCUGAGCCAUGAUCAAACUCUUCAAUUUAAAAGUUUGAUGCUCAAUGAAUUAAACUUCGUAAUGAAUUACGUGUUC